CAACCCUCAAGCUCCGCUUGGUGUUGGGCCCUGCCCCCGCGGCCGGCCCCAAAGACAGUGGCGGCGCCGCUCGGCCCUAAGCGUAGUACAUCUCUCGCUCUAGGGCCCGGCGGUGGCCUGCCAGAACCCCAAACUCAUGU
rnacentral:misc_RNA from 1 species